rnacentral:lncRNA from 1 species
CAGGUUUGCCGACCUUACGGGCCCUUCUCCGCCAGCCCUGGCUGGGUCACCCCCACGACCCGGGACUCCCCCGCCGUUCCCUCCCGGGCUGCCUGCAGUGAGGUCCGCUCCUGAGGCCUCAGCCUCGCCGGGGGUAGGGCCCUCUCCCGCCGUCGCCGCAGCUCCUUUCCGUCCCGGGGCCUGGGGGGCACCGUCCCACGGGUGAGGGCCGCCUCCAGCGCCUGGCCCAGCCAUGCGAACGCCUGGAGCCCGCGAGCUGCAGCUGCGGCCCUGAAGGUGCCGCAUAUCCUGCCGAGUGGGUGAAGCGUGGCACUUUGGAAAACAAAUCGGGUGAUCCGCCCACCUCGGCCUCCCAAAGUGCUGGAAUUACAGGCAUGAACCACGGUGCCCGGCUGACACAAGGAACUUUCUAUGAGGUCCUAGGAAUGAAGGAAAACAGGCAAUAAGGCAAGAAUCGCUGUCGAAGGAGUCUGCGCCACCUGCUCGCACAGCUCACUUGUGCCUUCUGAGCCUGCUGGAGCCCAGUGUACAUAUGCCGUCUCCGCGUGAUUAGAGAUUGCUGCUGCACGUGCCCAAUCCCGUGGCGGGGCUGGAACACAAACGGGGUGGUGUUCCAGCUGCAACCAUGCAGAUGAAGACUAUACCCUAGGAGAUGGAGGAACAACAGACAAGAAAGAAACCUGGGUUCCUGAAUAACCACGUGGAGCCAAGCAGCUUACUUAUCUCAAGCCACUGUUGCCCACCUCCAGAUUGGUUCGUGAGAUAGAAAUAAGCUUCUAUCCUUUUUGCAUGACUGCAUUUUGGGGUCUGUGUUAUAGCAGCUUAAUCUCUAUCUGAAUUAUAUUGGAUUUAAGUGUCUGAAGCCCAAUGACUUAACCUUUCCUGAGGCAAAGGCACAGAAGAGCCUAUUUUCCAAAAAUGGGAAAACGAAGACAUAGGAAGGAAAAACCCAACAAAUGGUCAGGAAAUUAUACUGCUAUAGGCUCUUCUCGGAUGAGUGUCUAGUCCUAAUGAGGGGGCUGUGGGAAUUCAAAGACGGAGAAACUGCCUUCAGAUAGAGCUAGUAGGGAAGACCCCUGCAGACAGUGACAUUAAAUUGAAGGUAGAAUUUGGAUAGAUGGACAUGGGGAGGGCAAUUCAAACAAAGGGAACUUGAGCAACAGGGUGGAGGUAGAAAGGUGCCAGAUCUUUUGGGAGAUGCAGAAGUGAUAUCACACAGUUUAAAGCCAGAGUUAAAUAUAAACCGAUACUUAGAAGCUUAAAUUCAACAUGGCAAAUUCACAGGUUUAGUUUCCUAAAAGAUUUUUCAUGUUUUUAUUACAGAACUGUCUGCAAACAAAUCUUUACUUGAUGAGAAGUUUAAAUAUAAUUAAAUCUAGAAUAUUACAU